UCUGGUGGCCGUCAGAUGGGAGCACGGAGAGAAAGUAAUGCAUGUUACUAGAUUUUGUUGUCUUAUGAUAGAAAGUAUAGAGACAAAAUCUAUGAAAGACUUUUUUUAAGAGUGUUUGAUGAUUGGUGGUCGUCAAAAAAGAUCAAAGAGAAGUUAGACGCAUGUCUUCAAAUGUACGGAGUAUCUUUUAUUUUGUUGUGCCGUUGCAACGCGGACAUUUCUGCUUAAUUUUUUUUUGAAUUAUGUUUUUUUUUGAAAAACCCCUCGAGAAACCUAGCAGCAACCUACGGUUCGUAAUCGGAAUUAACAACGGCGAACCGUUUUGGAUCCAAGUGUUAUACUAAUACCAUCUUUCAUCUUUCGUGGACUA
rnacentral:lncRNA from 1 species